GCGAGUAUAGCUCAGUUGUAGAGGGCAUGUUUAGCAUGCACGAGGUCCUGUGUUCAAUCCACAGUACCUCCA
rnacentral:tRNA from 1 species